CGGCAGUCACCUGUCGCGCAGUUCCUCGGCCCACAUCCGGGCCUCAGCACAGGCCGCCUCCUUCUACUUGGGGUCUGGACCCUUGGAGACUGAGCCUAGAAGCAAGGGAUAAAAGCCUGUAGGUGGCCUCGUGAAUUUUGAAAGUUCUGGACCUCUGCAGUUUCAGCAGCAGCAGCAGGAUUGGCCGAGUGGCAAUUGAAGAGACAGCUUUAGAGAGAGAGGCCACUAGAAGGAAAAUCAAGCUUGGCUUCCUGAUCAGACGGCACCAAAAGGAGGGAUCAAUACCUUCAGCUAAAGAAAGAAAACUCGAAAGCUCUCAUUUCAGCGAACAGUCAGAGCUGGGUGAGAAUUUGAAGAGGCUGGGGAAUGGAGGUGAAAACAACUUCCUUAAAAUCACUUGCACACUCAGGUUUUCCACUUUGCCUAGGGGCAAAAAAGG